rnacentral:snoRNA from 1 species
CCGGCUUUUGUGAUGAUUUACAUUAUGCAUAGUUCAUCCGACUAAUAAUGAGGACAAACUGUACCAUCAUCUUUCGCUCCCAUCUGAUAUGCCUU